rnacentral:misc_RNA from 1 species
GACGUAGGGGGCGAGCGUUGUCCGGAUUAACUGGGCGUAAAGGGCGUGUAGGCGGCUACGUAAGUCCGGCGUGAAAACUCACGGCUCAAUCGUGAACUUGCGUCGGAUACUGCGUUGGCUAGAGGACGGUAGAGGCAGGUGGAACUAGCGGUGUAGCGGUGAAAUGCGCAGAUAUCGCUAGGAACGCCGGUGGCGAAGGCGAUCUGCUGGGCCGUUCCUGACGCUGAGGCGCGAAAGCUAGGGGAGCGAGCCGG